UGCGUAUAUGUGUACAUGUGUAUAUGUGGGUGUGUCAGUGUGGGUAUAUAGGUGUGGCAAUGUGCAUGUGUAUCUAUGCGUGUCAAAGUGUAUAUUUAUCUGUGUGUGUUUAGCCGCACAUCUGUAUGUGUGCAUACAUUCCAGCAUUCAACUUCAACACUACAUACAAACAUACCCCUUAAAUUAAAUUCCAACUCUUCAUGCAAUCAGACACCAACACUACAUGCAAACACACCCCUGCAUUCAAACGCCAAUACUACAAACAAGCACACAGUUGCUAUGAAACACCAACACUACAUACAAACAUGCCCC